rfam:Zootermopsis nevadensis contig30410, whole genome shotgun sequence.
GCCACGGUGGUCUAGCGGUUAGAACACUGGCCUUGUAAUCCUGGGGUCUCGGGUUCGAUUCCCGGCGGUGCCC